CCUACGGGAGGCAGCAGUGGGGAAUAUUGGACAAUGGGGGCAACCCUGAUCCAGCCAUGCCGCGUGUGUGAAGAAGGCCCUCGGGUUGUAAAGCACUUUCAGUGAGGAAGGACGCCUGGUGGUUAAUACCCAUCAGGAAAGACAUCACUCACAGAAGAAGCACCGGCUAACUCCGUGCCAGCAGCCGCGGUAAUACGGAGGGUGCGAGCGUUAAUCGGAAUUACUGGGCGUAAAGCGCGCGUAGGUGGCUUGAUAAGCCGGUUGUGAAAGCCCCGGGCUCAACCUGGGAACGGCAUCCGGAACUGUCAAGCUAGAGUGCAGGAGAGGAAGGUAGAAUUCCCGGUGUAGCGGUGAAAUGCGUAGAGAUCGGGAGGAAUACCAGUGGCGAAGGCGGCCUUCUGGACUGACACUGACACUGAGGUGCGAAAGCGUGGGUAGCAAACAGGAUUAGAUACCCCUGUAGUC
rnacentral:rRNA from 1 species